UAACUGUAUAGCAAUGUUUAUUAAUCUUUUUUGCAUCAUGGGGCCCUUGGGGAAUAGGAUGAAAGCUAAAGACACAAUCCCUUAGGAAAAGAUACAUACACUUAACGCUUCCACACACUCCAUGAUGAGAACCCUGCCCUAUGGAAACAAACAGUUUUCCCCAAAAUCGCAGCAGGACUGUCCUCCUCAUCCUCUAGACCUGCAUCCAAAAUGACUUCUGGCUAUCCCCAAAUAUCAAAUCUCUGAAGGAACGAGAUGUUCCAGUGCUGAGGAGGUCCAAAAGAAUGUGCCGUAAGCUCAAAAGGCAUUUCCACAGAGAGCAUUCCAAAGAUGUUUGAAGAAAGCCAGGGUCCCUGGCAAGUGCGGCUUCUCCAGAUGACCACCUGGAAGAGGGUAGCAUCUGUGUUCCCGUCCUGGUGGGCUCUUAAUCAGCCCCAUCCCUCUCAGGCAAAGCUCGUUUGGGCGUUCCGUUUUCAGGUGGCAGUGACCGAUGUUUAGUCUCACUUAUUUUCUCUGAUGACUCAACACAGUAAAUAAGACGGUCUGUUUGGAAAAGCCCUGCAGUAAAUCAUCCUGAAAAAGUAAAAGCUUAUUUAUUGAUUUGAUAACUUUUCUGUUUUACUCUUCUAGCUUUAUAUUUUGUAAUAAAGCGUCUUUAAAAUGUAGCA
rnacentral:lncRNA from 1 species